rnacentral:rRNA from 1 species
GAACACCGGUGGCGAAGGCGGCUUUCUGGACAGUAACUGACACUGAGGCACGAAAGCGUGGGGAGCAAACAGGAUCAGAUACCCUGGUAGUCCACGCCGUAAACGAUGAGCACUAGUUGUUGGGUCCGAAUGGAUUCAGUGACGCAGUUAACGCAAUAAGUGCUCCGCCUGGGGAGUACGGUGGCAACACUAAAACUCAAAGGAAUUGACGGGGACCCGCACAAGCAGCGGAGCAUGUGGUUUAAUUCGAAGCAACGCGAAAAACCUUACCAGGGCUUGACAUCCCUCUGACAGACCCUUAACCGGGUUCUUCUUCGGACAGAGGAGACAGGUGGUGCAUGGUUGUCGUCAGCUCGUGUCGUGAGAUGUUGGGGUUAAGUCCCGCAACGAGCGCAACCCUUGUCGUCAGUUACUAACAUUAAGUUGAGGACUCUGACGAGACUGCCGAGGUUAACUCGGAGGAAGGUGGGGAUGACGUCAAAUCAUCAUGCCCCUUAUGUUCUGGGCUACACACGUGCUACAAUGGUCGGUACAAUGAGAAGCAAGAUGGCGACAUGGAGCAAAUCACCAAAACCGAUCUCAGUUCGGAUUGCAGGCUGCAACUCGCCUGCAUGAAGUCG